rnacentral:tRNA from 1 species
GGGGUUGUGGCUCAGUGGUAGAGCACUUGCCUCACACGUGGGGGGCACUAGGUUCAAUUCUCAGCACCA